CUGGGCUAACCUUCUUAGAGAGCUUUUCCAUUAAUUUCAAAUGGUGUUGAAUCAAGCCAUAUUGAUGUCUGAUUCUUGAAUAAGGUGUAACUCAUACUAUAUCCUUGUCUACCCAUUUUCUUUUUCUCUUGGGAAGGCAGUUGUAGCAAAGAGGCGUGGCCUCCCUCAGAGAUUGACAGCGAGGGAGGGUUACACAUACCUACUGAAUGUAUCAAGCCCUUCAUAAAGGAGAUGUACAUUGAUGACAUCUUCAUCAUCUGGACCCAUGGAAAAGAAGCCCUUGAGGAAUUCCACCAUCAUUUCAACAAUCUCCAUCCCACCCUCAACCUCAGCCUGGUCCAGUCCACAAAAGAGAUCCACUUCCUGGACAUUACGGUGCUAAUAAGCGAUGGUCACAUAAACACCACCCUAUACCGGAAACUUACUGACCGCUAUACUUACCUACAUGCCUCCAACUUUCAUCCAGACCACACCACACGAUCCAUUGUCUACAGCCAAGCUCUACGAUACAACCGCAUUUGCUCUAACCCCUCCGACAGAGACAAACACCUACAAGAGCUCUAUCAAGCAUUCUUACAACUGCAAUACCCACUUGCUGAAAUGAAGAAACAGAUUGACAGAGCCAGAAAAGUAUCCAGAAGUUACCUACUACAGGACAGGCCCAACAAAGAAAAUAACAGAACGCCACUAGCCAUCACUUUCAGCCCCCAACUAAAACCUCUCCAACACAUCAUCAAGGACCUACAACCUAUCCUGAAGGAUGACCCAUCACUCUCACAGAUCUUGGGAGACAGGCCAGUCCUUGCUUACAGACAGUCCCCAAACCUGAAGCAAAUACUCCCCAGCAACAACUCCCCAGUAACCACACACCACACAACAAAAACACCAACCCAGGAACCUAUCCUUACAACAAAGCCCGUUGCCAACUGUGUCCACAUAUCUAUUCAGGGGACACCAUCAUAGGGCCUAAUCACAUCAGCUACACUGUCAGAGGCUCAUUCACCUGCACAUCUACCAAUGUGAUAUAUGGCAUCAUGUGCCAGCAAUGCCCCUCUGCCAUGUACGUUGGCCAAACGGGACAGUCGCUACAGAAAAGAAUAAAUGGACACAAAUCAGAUGUCAAGAAUUAUAACAUUCAAAAACCAGUUGGAGAACACUUCAAUCUCUUUAGUCACUCGAUUACAGACCUAAAAGUUGCAAUUCUUGAACAAAAAAACUUCAAAAACAGACUCCAAGGAGAGACUGCUGAAUUGGAAUUAAUUUGCAAACUGGAUACAAUUAACUUAGGCUUGAAUAGAGACUGGGAGUGGAUGUGUCAUUACACAAGGUAAAACUAUUUCCCCAUGCUUAUUUCCCCCCGACUCCCCCACCACUGUUCCUCACACGUUCUUGUCAACUGCUGGAAAUGGCUCACCUUGAUUAUCACUGAAAAAGAUUCUCCCCUUCCCCCGCUCUCCUGCUGGUAACAGCUCACCUUACCUGAUCACUCUUGUUACAGUAUGUAUGGUAACACUCAUUGUUUCAUGUUCUCUGUGUAUAUAAAAUCUCCCCACUGUAUUUUCCACUGCAUGCAUCCAAUGAAGUGAGCUGUAGCUCAUGAAAGCUUAUGCUCAGAUAAAUUUGUUAAUCUCUAAGGGCCACAAGUACUCCUUUUCUUUUUGGUGUUUAUAUAGUUUCCAACUGAUAGCCAUCAGUACACAGGAGUUCUAACAAUUCCACUGACUGGCUGCUACUCACUGCUGUUUCUGGUCCUCUAGUAACAGAUUUCAGAUCUCUGGAAGUGGAGUAUGUUACUUAGAAAUUUUAAACUGAUUUUGAAAAUUAGUUAGUCUGUCUUUCUCAUUAAUAUACAAACAAUUGCUAACCCACACACAUCAUUUUAUUCCUUCAAAUUGGUAUGGUGUAAAUACUAUUUAAAUAUUUCAAAUGUAAAAUGGGUAACAUAAGCAAGCUUUUUUAAAAACUAGAGAAUAAGUCAUUUUCAGCUGUUCCACAACUAUUUAAUAAGACAUAGGAAGGUGGCACAUUUUUAGAAUGUUGGUAGAGUGGAGAGAUUGUGUUCUGCAAGGCCUUCUCUAGCCUGGAUAAAUGGUAUGGUUUUAGCUAAAACUGUAGCGUGGACAAAGCAGUACAUAUUUUUAAUUAAUAUGUGCUAAACUGCUUAAAUUAAAGCCUAAAGUCUUCCCUUUCACACAUGUUAAAAGCAGUAUGCCGUGUCUAUGACGGACUUCUAAAAACUAAUGUGUUGACUUCCUAGUCUAGACAAGGCCCCAAAUGUUUUUUUUAACAGUAAUGGGAGAUGUCAACGAUUUUUCUGUUGACUGGGUAUAUGUCACCUCAGGACAGGAUCCAGAGGUAAAAUGUCUAGACAUCAUAAAUGACUGCUUCUUGGAACAGUUUGUUAUGGAACCAAUAAGAGGAGAGGCCAUUCUUGCUUUAGUUCUGAGUGGAGCACAGGAUCUGGUCCAAGAGGUGAAUACAGCUGAACUGCUUAGUAAUAAUGACCAUAAUAUAAUUAAAUUUAACAUCCUCACAGGGGGGAAAUUGCCAAAGAAACCCACGACAGUAGCAUUUAACUUCAAAAAGGGGAACCACACAAAAAUUAGGAAGCUAGUUAAAUGGAAGUUAAAAGGAACAGUCUCAGGGGGUGAAAUGCCUAUAAAUUGCAUGGAAACUAUUUAAAAACAUCACAAGAGAGGCUCAAACUAAAUAUAGAGCACUCCCUCCCAAAAGAACAGAGGACCAAAAAAAUGCCACUCUGGCUAAACAGCAGAGUAAAAGAGGUGGUUAGAGGCAAAAAGGCAUCCUUUAAAAUUUAGAAGUUAAAUCCUACUGAUUAAAAUAGAAAAGACCAUAAACUGGCAAGUCAAAUGUAAAAGCAUAAUUAGGCAGGCCAAGAAAGAAUUUGAAGAGCAACUAGCUAAAGACACAAUAAAGUAAACAGCAGUAAGGCACCAGGACCAGAUGGUAAUCACCCAAGAGUUCUGAAAGAACUCAAAUAUGAAAUUGCAGAACCACUAACUGUGGUCUGUACCAUAUAGCUUAAAUCAGCAUCUGUACCAGAUGACUUGAGGGUAGCUAAUGUGAUGCUGAUUAUUAAAAAAGCUCCAGUGGUGAUCCUGGCAAUUACAGGCCAUUAAGCCUAACUUCAGUACCAAGCAAAUUGAUAUAAACAAUAGCAAAGAACAGAAUUAUCACACAGAUAAACACAAUAUGUUGGGAAUGAGUCAACACAUUUUUCGUAGAGGGUAAUCAUGCCUCACUAAUCUAUUAGAAUUCUUUGAGGGUGUUAACUAGCAUGUGGACAAGAGUGAGUCAGUGAAUAUAGUGUACCUGGACUUUCAGAAAGCCUUUGACAAGGUCGCACAUCAACGGCUCUUAAGCAAAGUAAGCAGUCCUGGGAUAAGAGAGAAGGUCCUCUCAUGGAUCAAUAACUGGUUAAAAGCCAGGAAACAAAGGGUAUGAAUAAAUGGUCAUUUUUCAGAAUGUCAACGUAAAGAGCGGAGUCCCCCAAGUAUCUGUACAGGGACCAGUGUUGUUCAACAUAUCCAAAAAUAAUCUGGAAAAAGGGGUGAGCAGUGAGAUAGAAAAUUAUUCAAGAUAGGUAAAUCCAAACCUGAUUGCGAAGAGUUACAAAGGGAUCUCACUAAACUGGAUAGCUGGGCAACAAAAUGGAAGAUGAAAUUCAAUGUUGAUAACUGCAAAAUAAUGCACAUUCAAAAAUGUAAUUUCAACUACACAUACAUAAUGAUGGGAUCUAAAUUAGCUGUUCCCACUCAAGAAAGAGAUCUUGGAGUCAUUGUAGGUAGUUCUCUGAAAACAGCUGCUCAAGAUGCAGUGGCAGUCAAAAAAGCUAACAGAAUGUUAGGACCAUUAGUAAAGGGAUAGAUAAUAAGACAGAAAAUAUCAUAAUGCCACUAUAUAAAUCUGUGGUACACCCAUACUGAAUACUGUGGGCAGUUCUGGUCAAAAAAGAUAAAAUUGAAAAAGGUACAGAGAAGAGCAACAAAAAUUAUGAGUAUGGAACAACUUCCAUAAGAGGAGAGAGUAAAAAAUUCUGGGACUGUUCAUCUUGGGAGAGACGACUAAGGGGGAAUAUGAUAAGAAAUCUAUAGCAUCAUGAAUGGUGUGGAGAAAGUGAAUAAGGAAAUGAUUUACCUCUUCACAUAGCACAAGAACUGGGGGUCAUCUGAUGAAAUUAAUAUGCAGAUGGUUUAAAACAAACACAAAGAAGUACUUCACACAAUGCAGUCAACCUGUGCAACUAGUUGCCAUUGGAUGUUGUGAAAGCCAAAACUAAAACUGAGUUAAAAAAAGCAUUAGGUAAGUUUAUGGAUGAUAGGUCCAUCAAUGGCUAUUAUCUCAUGCUCCAGGUGUCGCUAUAUUUCCAACUGCCAGAAGCUGGGACUGGACAACGGGAUGGAUCACUUGAGAUUGCCCUGUUCUCUUCUUUCCCUUUGAAGCAUCUGGCACUGGCCACUGUUGGAAGACAGUAUACUGGGCUAGAUGGACUGCUGCUCUGAUCCAGUAUGGCCGUUCUGAUGUGCUUAUAUGCAGUGAUGAGCUGCCAGAACCUGAAGAACUGGUUCCUUCAGUCGCUCCUGGUCUUUGGUGGCAUUGAAGGGCCCGACGCCAAAGUGCCGCCGAAGACCUGGAGUGACUGAAGGACCUGCUGCCGAAGUGCCACCGAAGGGCCACAGGGCCGCCGGGUGAGUAGAAAUUCUCAGGGGAGCCUUCCGAGCUGAGAGCUCAGGCGGGACGGACAGGACAGUCCCACGGGCCGCAGUUUACCGAACCCCUUUAACAACCGGUUCUAAACCAGCUUCAAAAUUUAACAGCUGGUUUGCACGAACUGGUGCGAACCGGCUCUAGCUCACCACUGCUUAUAUGCAGACUAAGAUCAGGGCCCAAAUCUAGAAAAGACUUGCAUGUGCUCAACUUUAUACAUGGGUAUCUUCAUAUUAUUUUCAACUGAACAACUUAUGUGUAAAGUUUAAACAUGUGCACAAGUGAUUGCAGGAUUAGGGCCCAAAACUGGUUCUUCACAUUGACACUGUUACUUUGAAUUUCAGUAGAUUUUUUCCAUCCUGUUUGCAGUUUCAUUCUUCUCUCAAAUAUACUUUAUUAUUGAGUCAUAGAGUUUAAGGCCAGAAGGAAGGACCAGAUCAUCUACUCUGACCUCCUGUAUAUAAGUGGCCACCAACACCACCCAGCACCCGGACACUAAACCCAACAACUGAAAUAAGACGAAAAAUUUAGAGCCCAGAGGUGACUAAAUUAUGUGCCACAGGCAGAGAAUAGGAGACAUGCAAGUGCACCAGUGCCUCAAACCCCUGCAGUGGCUGGGAAAUGAUUAAGUGAUAGAUACCUAGAUAAUCCUGGCAAGUGACCCACACCCACAUGUUGCAGAGAAGGCAACCCCUUCCCCCAAGGUCACCGCCAGUCUGACCUGGUGGAAAAUUCCUUCCUGACCCCACAUAGUGAUCAUUUAGACCCUGAGCUUGUGAGUAAGAGUUAGCCAGCUAAACCCUGAGAGAGAGAGAGACUGGUCGGCGCCCUGGCCAUCCUCAUCUAAUGUUUCAUCUCCAGCUUUGACCAUCUCUGAUGCUUUAGAGGCAGAAGAUUUAAAAAAAACACAGACUAUACUGGGGGAAACAUAUUCCUUCCUGACCCCUGUGGGUGGCCAACUGAAACUCUGAAGCAUGAACUUUUAGGAAUAUAAAACAUAAACCAGAAGUAAGCUCCAGAGCGGUUGAGCCCUUCCCCCUACCAUGAUUCGGACAGAAGGAUCCAUAUCUUAUGCUUCAUCAUACAUUUAAAUGUUUUGCUUUCUAUA